rnacentral:lncRNA from 1 species
AUGGAUUGAAAUCUUUCUGAAAAUGCGCAGCUCCAUUUCUUGGCCGGCGUUCGCGAAAUGGAUUUUCAUAUCAUUUCAAGCCAGGUACCCACAAAAUGGGCCAACCAUAUCAGGUGCAGUUCCCACGAAAUGGCUACCCCCAUUUCCUUGGUGGCAGUAGCAAAAUGAAAGAAAUAACUCAGGAACACCUGGUGCGAAAUGGGGGCACUGCGGAGUUGAGGACACUCUCAUAUUCACUCUAUGGUAUAGUCAUAAUUUGAUGUAGAAAAGUGGAUAUUAUUGCCCUUAUAUUGAAAAAGAUUUUGUUUAAAAUGUUAUCUCUAGGUUACUUGUGUUUGUGUGUGUUGCAGAAUUAUGUGGACAGUUGAUCAUAAUUAUCUGGACGUACUUAGGAGUAAGAAUUUUCUGAUUAUGUGUUGGUUUGAAUUAGCUUAUUUGAGUUAAAAAAGUACUUUUUAUAAAAAAAAAUAAAAUACUUUAAGUUUUAAACACAUUUUGAUACAUCUUUUGAGAAUAAGUAUUUUUAUUAAAAAAGCAAAUUCUUUGCUUUUUUCUAAAAGCCAGUAAUACCUUGCUUUUAAAAAAAAAACAAAAGCAAAAGACGUUUUUAAUAUUUAAAAAAUCUUUUUAAAAAGUCUACCCAAAGUAAAAUAUAUAACUUUUAUCUGUAAAAAAUGAUUUUCUUAAAAAAGAUAAAAAAAUAAAUACUUUUUUUCAAAAGCCAAUUCAAAC